AAACAGGCUUUUUUUAAAGCCACCUAUGAAACAAGAGGCUUAACCU
rfam:Amphimedon queenslandica AMPQTscaffold_13221_Cont6022, whole genome shotgun sequence.